AUUGAACGCUGGCGGCAGGCCUAACACAUGCAAGUCGAGCGGAGCGGCGGACGGGUGAGUAAUGCCUAGGACUCUGCCUGGUAGUGGGGGAUAACGUCCGGAAACGGGCGCUAAUACCGCAUACUAUCAGAUGAGCCUAGGUCGGAUUAGCUAGUUGGUGGGGUAAAGGCCUACCAAGGCGACGAUCCUUAACUGGUCUGAGAGGAGGAUGAGUCAAGUUGGAACUGAGCCACGGUCCAGACGCCUCCGGGAGGCAGAAGUGGGGAAUAUUGAAAAAUGGGCGCAAGCCUGAUGCAGCCAUGCCGCGUGUAUGGAGAAGGCCUUCGGGUUGUAAAGUACUUUCAGCGGGGAGGCGUUACCCGCAGAAGAAGCACCGGCUAACUCCGGGCCAGCAGCCGCGGUAAUAC
rnacentral:rRNA from 1 species